GAUGAACGCUAGCGGCAGGCUUAACACAUGCAAGUCGAGGGGCAUCACGGGUAGCAAUACCUGGUGGCGACCGGCGCAAGGGUGCGUAACGCGUGAGCAACAUGCCCUAUACAGGGGGAUAAUCCAGGGAAACUUGGUCUAAUAUCCCAUAGCAUUUAGAGGUGGCAUCACCAUUAAAUUAAAGCUUCGGUGGUAUAGGAUUGGCUCGCGUGACAUUAGCUAGAUGGUGGGGUAACGGCUCACCAUGGCUAUGAUGUCUAGGGGUUCUGAGAGGAAGACCCCCCACACUGGGACUGAGACACGGCCCAGACUCCUACGGGAGGCAGCAGUGAGGAAUAUUGGACAAUGGAUGGAAAUCUGAUCCAGCCAUGCCGCGUGCAGGAAGACGGCCCUAUGGGUUGUAAACUGCUUUUAAUGGGAGCAAUAAGGUCUACGAGUAGACCGAUGAGAGUACCAUAUGAAUAAGC
rnacentral:rRNA from 1 species